rnacentral:rRNA from 1 species
GACGAACGCUGGCGGCGCGCUUAACACAUGCAAGUCGAACGGAAAGGCCUGCUUUCCCUUGUGGAUUGCGGGUACUCGAGUGGCGAACGGGUGAGUAACACGUGAGUGAUCUGCCCCCAACUUGGGUAUAAGCCUGGGAAACUGGGUCUAAUUCCCGAUAGGACUGCAGGGUGGUGCCUGUGGUGGAAAACGAUUUUCUAGUGGUUGGGGAUGAGCUCGCGGCCUAUCAGCUUGUUGGUGGGGUAAUGGCCUACCAAGGCGGGGACGGGUAGCCGGCCUGGGAGGGUGGACGGCCACAUUGGGACUGGGAUACGGCCCAGACUCCUACGGGAGGCAGCAGUGGGGAAGAUUGCACAAUGGGCGGAAGCCUGAUGCAGCGACGCCGCGUGGGGGAUGACGGCCUUCGGGUUGUAAACUCCUUUCGACCGCGAGGAAGCCACCUGGCUGGAAGGGUGGUGACGGUAGUGGUAGAAGAAGCACCGGCUAACUACGUG